rnacentral:tRNA from 1 species
UCCCUGGUGGCUCAGACCAUAAAGAACCUGCCUAUAAUGCAGGAGACCCAGGUUCAAUCCCUGGGUUGGGAA